AAUACAAAAGCUCGAUACACAAGAGUCAGCGGAAGCAACAAUAUCUGAGUACAGACAUAAGUUAAACAAGGAUGCCUUAAGAAGGCUAGCACAAAAGCACAACGAUCGAAGAGGCAAGGCCUCCUGCCUGGGACCUCCUAACUACUCCUGGUCGUCGGCGGUCUUCACAUAGCAGCAUCCAUCGGCGGUGGCAUCUGGCUCCAGGGAUCCACCAUCUGGUUGCAUCAACCGGAAAGAAGAAAGAAGGGGGAAAAGGGGUAGCAAAGCAACCGUGAGUACUCAUCCAAAGUACUCGCAAGCAUCAGAUCUAUACUAAAGUAUGCACUGGUAUCAAAUGGAAGGUUUGUAUAUGUGGACUGAACUGCAGAAUGCCAGAGUAGGGGGAGGACCUAGCCGAUCGAAGACUAGCAUCUUCACGCAGCUCCGAGCAUCUUGCAGCAUGUAGAAGAGUAAAGAAUAGCAGUUUAUAAUUAACAAGCAUGUUGUAACAUUAAUGCCCAGAGAUCCUUCCUCGACUCCCUGCGAGAAAACAAUCCCGGAGCCACAUAUCUCAAGUAUCCAUUUGUAGUUGUAUAAGAUCAGGAUAUAAGUCUGAACGUUCAUUAUCAUGGACACGGUAUUUGAAUAUAUAACUUCCCUGUAAGGGUGCACCACGUUACCCAACACGCUCGAUCACUCUGGUCGGACACACCUUUCUGGGGUCAAUGCCCGCCCUCGAAAGAUCAACACGUCGCAGCCCGACCUAAGCUCAGCAGAGAGGUCCCCGCCGGUCUACAUCCUAAGCACUCCGGGGUCUGGGCCCAUCGCCCGUUGCAAUCCGGGUCGUUGUGCGCAACGGGAUACCAGCACCACCCGUGAAGUGGAUGGCACGAUCCGGCCCGGCCACAAUGCUGAACUGGACGUCUGACAAAGCUUCGGCUGAUACCACGACGUUGAGGUCCAUAUCUAUUCUCGCGUGCUGGUUAGUGCGUAAAGGCCAGAGGCCAACUCAGAACAAAUACCCAAACCAUAGUGUAUUAUUAGCUUGCGGAGACGAGCAGAGACUCACGAUCGAAAGUGACCCCGUCGCCCCGUCUCGUGGACUUACGACAAGGGUUCAGAAUGCCCGGCCGUGCCACGUCAUUAUCUUGCGGGUGCUCUCCGGGCCCGCCCGACUUUCACCAAGGUCUCAAGUAAAGUCAUUGUAACUGUGUGUCCAGACAUCAAGGGGAAAACCCGAGGAAUCACCCCCGGUGGAUUCCACUCAAUGUAAUCAUCAAGGUGAACAUAAGAGGGACCACCCUCGAGGUUCACACUUGAGGUGUUGAACGACAGAGCCGUAUCGGGAAUGGUGAAAGAGGAAAUCACCCUCGAUGACCACGACUGAAUAGCUACACUACAGAAUUAUCAUCAGGAGUGCGUUAUGAGGGAUCACCCUCGGCACUCGAUAGUAGCUCUGCAGAGUCGAGCAACUAAAGGGCGUGACGUGAUGUGAGGUGUCGGGCUCUGGUCGUCGAUCACGUCGAUCGAGGCGUCGAUGAUGAAGAAGGGGCAACAAGGAGAAGUGGGGGUCACUGAUGGAUCACUAACCAACCUAUACUAAGCAGUUUAGGAUAAGCAGGUAGAUAACAAUAACAGAUACAAAAGCAGGCUAUGCAUCAGAAUAGGAGCAAACAAUAACAGUAGCAAAAUCUAAUGCAAGCAUGAGAGUAUAGAAUGGACGAUAUUGGGAUGAUCAAAGGGGGCUUGCCUGGAAGCUCCGCUGAAAGGGAAGAAGAGUCGUCGUCGACGUAGUCCAUCACAGGGGCAUCAGCAGCAAUCUCGGGGUCUACCGGAGAGAAGAGGGGGAAGAAACAGUAAAUACACGCAGACAUAUGCACAACAAGAUAAUAAGCGGGGCUAGAGGUGUUCUAACGCAGCGUUAGGCGAUACUGGCGAAGGGGGAAAACAUCCGGGAAAGUUUUCCCGGUCACGGACAUCUGUGAGACAGAUGAACCGGAGGGGAAAGUUUGCAGGUUCGCUAUGCUAGAGACGUGUGAUAGACGAACGGACCGCGUGUUCGAAUUCGUCUCGUCGUUAAGAGCAACUUUCAUGUAGAAAACUUUUUCAUCCGAGGUACGGAUUAUUUUAUAAGAUUUUUCAAAGUCUUAAUAAUAUUCUAGAGUUUUUAAAUUACUUUUAAUCUGAGUUGACCAAGUCAAUUUGACUAGUCAAAAGAAGAGCUGAGACCCACAUGUCAUGCACUAUUUACCUAAACAAUUAAAUAAACCUAACUUAUUUAAUGGGGGCCUACAUGUCAUCUACUACUAGACUAACUUGGCACUAAUUAAUACUACUAGCUAAACCUAGUACUAAGAGGGGCCGGCCACUAAGCAGAACCCAGCCGGCCACACGCACGGCACACAUACAACACACAACGCAAGGAGAGGUUAAAUCUGUUCUCUGUUAGCAGAAGAUAACAAUUUGUGAUCAUAUGAUUUAAAUCAUGCAUCAAAUGGAUUUGGUUCAAUGGACACAUUUGAGCCUUGUCAAGUGUACCACCAUCCCAUAUAUUUUUUUAGUCCUGUUAACAGUUGUUUAACCACAGAUUAGGGACCAACUAGAGGCUUAGUCAUUGUGAAAAUAGAAAAGCUAGCUAGUAGCAUCUACUGUAGUUACAAGUUCAGUAAGCAGCAUUAGAUUCAGUAGAGCAGCAGUGAGCAGCGGUGUGGCGUGGUCGAGCGCGAGACGAGGCAGGGCGGCGCUAGGCGGCGGCUCAGCCAGGCGGGGGCGGGCAACAGCAGGGCACAGCUUGGCGAGGGGCGCGCCGCAUGACGACGGCAGCAGCGAUUGCAAGGAGCAGCGACAGCGGGCAGAGAAAGCAGCAGCGGCACACGACGGGAGCAGCAGCGCGACAGCAGAAAUAGAGCAGCAGCGGCUGCAGUGAGCAGCGGCGAGCGGGGGCGCGCGCGCAGGCGGCGGCCGAUGCGCGGGCUGGGGGACGCGGGACGCGGCCACGACACGGUGAGAGAGAUCGGCCGCGGCGGUGUACGGUGUCUACGGCGACAAAUCAAUAAGAAACAAAGGGGAAAGGGGCGACAGCUCACGGUGAUCCUUUAGGCGAGCUCGAGGUGGUCGGGGAAGAACCGGAGCUGCGCGAAUCGACGACGGCGGUCGACGACCGUGGCGGAGAAGAUGAUGACUGUGACGAGCGCACGAGGCCGCCCUGCUCGAUUCGGCGCACGUAGGCGAAGCAGACGACGACGGUGAAUCUCCUGGUCAUCCUCCCAAGCGCCGGGGAGCAUGGUGGCCAUGAGAACGAGAUCGACCAUGGCGUCGGCAGUGUGUGUGUGCGGUGUCUGCGAGAGAACGGCGCAAGAAGGAGGGG
rnacentral:lncRNA from 1 species